GGUGGCUCAGUGGUAGAGUGCUUGCCUUGCAUGCAUGAGGUCCUAGGUUCAAUUCCUCAGCACCA
rnacentral:tRNA from 1 species